AUUCCAGCUCCAAUAGCGUAUAUUCAAGUUGUUGCAGUUAAAAAGCCCGUAGUUGAAUUUCGGGCCUGGUUGAAUGGUUCGGACGCAAGUUCAACACUGUUCCGACUGUGUCUUUCCUUCUAGGGAAACUGGUGUGCUAUUUGUUUAGUGCGCCAUGGAUCUAGGACUGUUACUUUGAAAAAAUUAGAGUGUUUAAAACAGGCUUACGCUUGAAUACAUUAGCAUGGAAUAACGGAAUAGGACUUGGUUUCUAUUUUGUUGGUUUUCAGGAACGAAGUAACGAUUAAUAGGGAUGGUUGGGGAGAUUAGUAUUCCACAGUCAGAGGUGAAAUUCUUGGAUUUGUGGAAGACUAGCUUCUGCGAAAGCAUUUCCCAUGGACGUUUUCAUUG
rnacentral:rRNA from 1 species